UCUAGCUAAGGAUUUGGAACGUUCCUUACCAGCCCUGAGUGCGCUUGCUCAAGAUGAGAACACUGAAGCCGAGGAAAAAGCUCAGGAUCACACAAGUAAUCAGGCUUUCUUGACCAAGUGCAGCUCUUCGCCCCCAACGCCAAGUAAUAGCAAGAUUGCUGGUACACACACAAACACAAAUUUCCUGCCCUCAAGAGGGGUGGGCAAGCAAGAAUAUGCUUUUUAGAGCACUAUAGAACUACAGUGUUCCUCCACCCUCUCGGUUUUGUUUUGUUUUGUUUUGUUUUGUUUUUAAUGCCAUUCUUCAUUGUCAGUUAAAGAACCAUCAACCAUACAGGCUGUCCUGAUUUUAAGGGAAGCAGGAAUUCUCAGCAUGGAUGCUACCCUUAGGAGGUUGAAGAUAUGUAACCAUUGUUGUAUUGAGAUGUAUAAUAGAAAAAGGAAAUGAGCUACUUUCGCUGAGAAUGAAAAAUGAAUAACUUGAGUGGUACACUCUUACCACUCAGAAAAUAACAGGAUAAAAAGAAAGACUAACUUUCAGUAAAUGCACUAAGGAUUUACGAAGGGAAAGGAUUUGGGCAAGAAUUACACAUAAUGAGAAGACUUAGAGCGAUUUUUAUUUACAACAGUGGGGAAACUUUUUCAUCUUUGUUCAGUUGUGGCUGGCUCUUCAUGAACCCAUUUGGUGUUUUAUUGGCAAAGAUUGGAGAGGUCUGCUAUUUCCUUCUUCAACUCUUUUUACAGAUGAGGAAAAUGAUCCAAAUAGGGUGAAAUGACUUACCCGUGGUCACAUAGGUAGGAAGCAUCUAAAACCAGCUUUGAACUCGGGAAAAUGAAUUGGCCUGACUCCAAGCCCAAGCCUGGCACUCUCCUCACUGUUACCUCGCUGUCCCAAAGGACUAUCCACACAAAUAAAAUCAUGGAUCAUUCGAAGUAUUUGAGUAUCACCUUCCUGAUGACAGUAUAUCAACCCAAAGGAAUUGCAAGCCUGGCCUUACACAACUGGCCUCACUACUAGAAAAUUUUUCACUGUUUUCUCAGACUUUGGAUGACAGCUAUUGAAACUUGCUCUGACAGAGACACAGAAGCUGAUUUUCUCAAGGGAAUAUGUUCUCUGGAAACUUCCCUGAAUAUUUUUUCUCAGUAUAAGCAGAUGCUGUAAAUGCACCCAGAGUGCCAGCAUCAAUUCCUCUUGCUUAAUCAAUGUCGGAAUCUAGUUAUGACUCUCCUUUUGUUUCCUGCUUAAUCAGGGCCAGAAACCACUCAUUAUCUGGCCCCUUCCUGAGAAUCAUCACACAUCUUUUCUGGCUGCCCAGAGAUUGCUGACAUAAAUUGGCAGUGUUGCUGACAGAUUGAUCUUUUUUCUUAAUCAGUGCUUUAUUAAGAACUAGGCAUACUUGCCCCUGAACUGAAAAAAGCAAUAUAGCCCUUUGCAACAAAAGCCUAUGUCAGGGCUCGGAUUAUUCUAUAGACCUGGACCUUCACUUUUGUAAAUCCCCAAUUGGAAUUGGUAUGAGUUUAACUCAGCCCUUUGACAAAAUAAUUGUAUUAGGACUGUUUCAUCUUGGUGUAGAUAUCAAUAUUUGAGAUAACCUGAAAUAUCUGCCAGAUUUCACAGGUUUAAGAAAUGGGUUCCUUCUAAGAGAUGCAUCAUCUAGAGAUGAAUCCCAGAAAAAGGAUCCUAAUUUUCAAACAUUGGCUGUCAUUGUGGAAGAAGCUUUGCUAGAAACUAUGUUACCUGCUCCCUGAACCUCAGUAUCUUCAAUUCCAAGUAGCACAUAUGGUUUGUACUGUUCCUUCAAGAGAUGAUUGUAAGUUUUUAACAACUGGCUAUCUUAAAAAAAAAAAACAACCACCUGCAUACACAUUUAAUCUACAUAAAUAACAUUUUCUUCAUCAUGUCAAGGUUAGAUAAUUAAAAUACAUAUAUUUCAUGUAGAAAAACAAUUCUCAGAUAAAGAAAUUAAACUAUCCUUAAACAUAUGAAAAAAUGCUCCAAAUCACAACUAAUUAGAGAAAUAUAAAUCAAAAUAACUCUGAGGAACCACCUCAGACCUGUCAAAUUGGCUAAUCUAAGAGAGAGAGAAAAAAAGGGAAAUGAUAAAUGUUGGAGUUGUGAAUUUAUACAGUCAUUUUGGAGAGCAAUUUGGAAUCAUGUCCAAAGGGCCAUUAAACUGAAUACUCUUUGACCCAGCAAAACCACUACUAGAUCUGUAUCCCAAAGGGACCAAAGAUAGGGAAAAAGGACUUACAUGUUCAAAAAUAUUGAUAGCAGCUCUUUUUGUGGUGGCAAAGAACAAGAAACUGAAUUGCAAUGGAAUACUAUUAUGCCAUAAGAAAUAAUAACCAAGAUGAUCAUCAAAAAGACCUGGAAAAACUUUUUUGAAGUGACACAAAGAAAGUUAAAGAACCAGGAGAAAAGGUUAUAUUUUGUAACAACAAUGUAUGAUGAGCAACUGUGAAUUACUUGACUAUUAUCAACAAGGCAAGGAUACAGGAUAACUCCAAGGGACUAAUGAAGAAAAAGGAUAUUUACCACCAGAAGGAACAGUUUGAAUGCAGAUGUAAACAUACCAAUUUUCACUUUAUUUCCUCCAUGAAUUUUUCCUUAGUGUAAGCAAUAUAUGUCUUCUUUGACAAAAUGAUGAAUAUCGAAAUAUAUAUUGUAAGAUAACAUAUACCAUAUUACCUGCCAUCUUGGGGAGGAGAAAGGAGAAAUAUGGAAGAGAGAACAUAGAUCACAAAAUAUCAGAAAAUGAUCAUUAAAAAUUAUAUCAACAUGUGAAAAAAUUAAAUUUAAAAAAUGUCAUAUCAAGCUUGCAGCAUUUGCCAAAUUCUGAAGUGUACAUGCUCACACGGGAAAUUUAAUGAUUAGCCGACUCUUCUGAAGCUGGCUCCAGCAUGCCUUUGUGCCUUGCCCUCUCCCUGCAUCUCAACAACUCCAACUUCUAGCCUAGCAAGGGAACUGAUGGCCUCUAAUAUCUUCUUCCUUCAAGGUCUUUGGCCACAUUGGGAAGGCCAACAUUAUCCUUUAUCUCUACCAGAAAGGAAGAGCCAUCACCUCAGCAUAUAGCCCAGGUGUAACCAUCUUACCCCCAGGCUCAAGGCUAUAAGGUCACAACUUCUAUCCUUCAUCUUACUCUCCAGUCAAGAUAUUGCAAGCUAUGUUUCUAUCAUUUCCAGAGCCCCUAUGUAAAAAAUAGAGACUUGAACCCAGGACUCCAGUCCCCAGAAGUCCUUGCUCACUUCCCAGAAUACUUUGUAAUCGCACUGAAUUCUCACCUGGGCGAGAUCACAAAUUAUUAUUUAAAGGAGUUCUCUGCUUAUGGAGGGGUCUUUUCCGUUUCCCCUUGCAAGCAGAAGGUUCUUUCAUGAUGUAGGUGAGGUUAAAAUGGGCCUCUUGGCCCACCUAGCAUGUAAGUAAGUAAGUAAGAGAAGUCUCUUACUUGUAUAUUCUCAAAUUCUCAACCUUUAAUAAAACUUUAAAAUUAUAAUACUCCUUGCA
rnacentral:lncRNA from 1 species